CUUCAUGGCGGCUGUGUGCAGGACACCUUCGGGUGUGCCGGUGCGCUCUGCCGGUUGACCAACCUGUGCACAGUCCGCCACCCAU
rnacentral:antisense_RNA from 1 species